UACGUAGGGGGCAAGCGUUGUCCGGAAUUAUUGGGCGUAAAGAGCGUGUAGGCGGUCCGGUAAGUCAGCUGUGAAAGUUUGCGGCUCAACCGUAAAAUUGCUUUUGAUACUGCUGUGCUAGAAUUAGGAUGAGGUCAGCGGAAUGUGGCAUGUAGCGGUGAAAUGCAUAGAUAUGCCAUAGAACACCAAUUGCGAAGGCAGCUGGCUAGACCUAUAUUGACGCUGAGGCACGAAAGCGUGGGGAGCGAGCAGG
rnacentral:rRNA from 1 species